rnacentral:rRNA from 1 species
UGGGGAAUUUUGGACAAUGGGCGAAAGCCUGAUCCAGCAAUGCCGCGUGUGUGAAGAAGGCCUUCGGGUUGUAAAGCACUUUUGUCCGGAAAGAAAUCCUUGGCUCUAAUACAGUCGGGGGAUGACGGUACCGGAAGAAUAAGCACCGGCUAACUACGUGCCAGCAGCCGCGGUAAUACGUAGGGUGCAAGCGUUAAUCGGAAUUACUGGGCGUAAAGCGUGCGCAGGCGGUUUGCUAAGACCGAUGUGAAAUCCCCGGGCUCAACCUGGGAACUGCAUUGGUGACUGGCAGGCUAGAGUAUGGCAGAGGGGGGUAGAAUUCCACGUGUAGCAGUGAAAGUGCGUAGAGAUGUGGAGGAAUACCGAUGGCGAAGGCAGCCCCCUGGGCCAAUACUGACGCUCAUGCACGAAAGCGUGGGGAGCAAACAGGAUUAGAUACCCUGGUAGUCCACGCCCUAAACGAUGUCAACUAGUUGUUGGGGACUUCAUUUCCUUAGUAACGUAGCUAACGCGUGAAGUUGACCGCCUGGGGA